GGCGUGCCUAAUACAUGCAAGUAGAACGCUGAAGCUUGGUGCUUGCACCGAGCGGAUGAGUUGCGAACGGGUGAGUAACGCGUAGGUAACCUGCCUCUUAGCGGGGGAUAACUAUUGGAAACGAUAGCUAAUACCGCAUAAAAGUCGACAUUGCAUGAUGUUGACUUGAAAGGUGCAAUUGCAUCACUAAGAGAUGGACCUGCGUUGUAUUAGCUAGUUGGUGAGGUAACGGCUCACCAAGGCGACGAUACAUAGCCGACCUGAGAGGGUGAUCGGCCACACUGGGACUGAGACACGGCCCAGACUCCUACGGGAGGCAGCAGUAGGGAAUCUUCGGCAAUGGGGGCAACCCUGACCGAGCAACGCCGCGUGAGUGAAGAAGGUUUUCGGAUCGUAAAGCUCUGUUGUAAGAGAAGAACGAGUGUGAGAGUGGAAAGUUCACACUGUGACGGUAACUUACCAGAAAGGGAC
rnacentral:rRNA from 1 species